rnacentral:lncRNA from 1 species
UAUCUAAAUAUAGAACUAAAAUUUCACACAUACUAUAUAUAUGAAAAUCUUUUGCCAUGAUAUAUAAUCUAAUCAAUAAAAACUAUUCCCAUAGGCAUAGCCAUAGGCAGAGUAAUCUAAUAAUCUAAAACACAACAUACAUGCGAGUGAGUUUUCUCGAACAUUGUCACUACCUGACAUUAGUCCAGAAGAAGCUAAGAAGCCCAGUCUAUGUCACAAUUGUACGUAGAUGCACGAAGGCACCAAUCAAUGUCCCUUUCCACAAUUUCCAGGAUACAUGCCGUUAUUCACUUAAUGAUAUACACGAAACUCAGUCUGGAAAAAUAUUUUUAAUCAUAUUAUUACUGCGUUAAAUGUGAGUGAUUUCUUCCUCUUCAUUUUUGGAAAAAGCAUAUUCAAGGAACAUGAUCUUUCUCAAAAAUCAAUUAAAACAUCUGGAAAAAUUUUCAUGUUUCAUGUAUAUCAUCAACGUGUUCCCUAUAUGCAAAAACAACUAAACAUUUUCACUUUAUUCUUUUUCUUGCCAAUGUACAUGCAAUGAAUGUCCUAAUUUCUUGGGGGAAAGCUGUUAAUUCAGUUACGAUACAUGCCCGCAGUACUGCACAGAUCUUCCAUUAUUUUGAAUGAAUUAUGUCAAUUUGCCACAACCAUUCAUGCGUUCAUAUAUGCGUUUGAUUUUAGUGUUUCGUACACAAAGUCGUAUGUGUUCUUUCGCCGUAAACGAGUUUUAUUUCCUCCCGAGUACAUUCAAGUCGAUCCACAGUACAAGUGUCAGUUUUAAAUAUUUAUCCCUGAUUAAAAUAGUCCACGCAUCGCCAAUGUUUGAAUAAUAUGCAUUUCCCAAGGUGCUUGUUAGUUCUAGGUAAACGAAGCUUUUCUAUUUCUGCAGCAGGCAAACAGAGUCGCCUUACGCAAUACAAUCCAUGUUGUACAGUUUAAUAGUACAAUGUUAAUCAGGUGACAUCCUUUCCUUUAGUAAAACUUGUUAGGAUGAUUCAAGUUGCACAUACUUUGUCCGUAUAUACACUGUAACUGCACGGUGAUUUUUAGCAGUUGAUCAGGGAUCUUUCGGUUUCUAAUGAAACAGCUGCAUGGCGAGUAAAUUUUAUCCACGUC